GUAUCUUAUUUAAAAUUUGAUGUUGCUCCUUAAACUGCUCAAUGCUUUUGUCUCAACUUCUCUCAAGGUCAUUUCUGCAAUAGGUGCUGCAAUAGGACUCCCAAUAGGCAUGCCAGUGUUCUGUAGAUAGAACUUGUUAUUGUAGAGGCACUCUCACUUGGUGCUUAUGGCCUAACUUGCAUGAAGCUGCAAGACGGGUUUGCUGCUGCUGCGCACUUUCUAGACGUGGACUUGGAGCUCAAAGAUUGUAGCUUGGGGGCCGCAGUGUUCGGGGGACCAACAUGUGAGCCCGUAGCGUCCCCGAGUGGUUGCCGGAUCUCUGCACCUGUAGGCUUGCAGCUUUCCGCUUUUUUUUUCCGGAGAGUCGUCCUCUACAUUGAAGAUCAAAGAGAUUUAGAUAAAGAACUGGAUUACAUCUUUAAAAUGGGCCUAGCAUACGGGAG
rnacentral:lncRNA from 1 species